GACGAACGCUGGCGGCGUGCUUAACACAUGCAAGUCGAACGGUGAAGGGACUGGUUUUGCUGGUCCUGGAUGAGUGGCGAACGGGUGAGUAACACGUGAGUAACCUGCCCCCUUCUUCUGGAUAACCGCAUGAAAGUGUGGCUAAUACGGGAUAUUCUGGGUCUGUCGCAUGGUGGGCCUGGGAAAGAUUGCGCCUUUUUUGGUGUUUUUGGUGGGGGAUGGGCUCGCGGCCUAUCAGCUUGUUGGUGGGGUGAUGGCCUACCAAGGCGGUGACGGGUAGUCGGCCUGAGAGGGUGGACGGUCACACUGGGACUGAGACACGGCCCAGACUCCUACGGGAGGCAGCAGUGGGGAAUAUGGCACAAUGGGCGCAAGCCUGAUGCAGCGACGCCGCGUGAGGGAUGGAGGCCUUCGGGUUGUGAACCUCUUUCGCCAGUGAAGCAGGCCUGCCUCUUUUUGUGGGUGGGUUGACGGUAGCUGGAUAAGAAGCGCCGGCUAACUACGUG
rnacentral:rRNA from 1 species